AUACGUAGGUGGCAAGCGUUAUCCGGAUUUACUGGGUGUAAAGGGCGUGUAGGCGGGAUGGUAGGUCAGAUGUGAAAUACCGCAGCUUAACUGCGGGGCUGCAUUUGAAACCCCCAUUCUUGAGUGUUGGAGAGGUAAGUGGAAUUCCUAGUGUAGCGGUGAAAUGCGUAGAUAUUAGGAGGAACACCAGUGGCGAAGGCGACUUACUGGACAAUAACUGACGCUGAGGCGCGAAAGCGUGGGGAGCAAACAGGAUUAGAUCCCCUGGUAGUCCACGCCGUAAACGAUGGAUACUAGGUGUAGGGGGUAUCGACUCCCCCUGUGCCGCAGUUAACACAAUAAGUAUCCCACCUGGGGAGUACGGCCGCAAGGCUGAAACUCAAAGGAAUUGACGGGG
rnacentral:rRNA from 1 species